GUGGUUUUUCUUCUCUGGAAAGCUUUUUGCGUUUUUGUAGAGCUUCUUUUCCCUCUAAAACAAAUUUUUCCCUCAUAUCCUAAAUUUUAGAUUUUCGGCAAGUUUCACUAUUUUCGCUCUAGUUUCACUUUCGAUUUUUGCCUAAUUUUACCUCUGAUUUUCACCCUAAUUUCCCCUCCAAUUUUCGUCAUGUUUCACGCGACGCGUUCGUCCCAAACCUGCGAUGGAGCAAGCAGUGUUGCGUUGAGCCGCUUGCGGUGACCAGCUUUAACGCGGGUGCCAUUAAAGCUAAGGUUCGGCCAAGCUUCAGCAAUUGGGGAGUAGACAUAAUAUUGACUCGGAUUUGUCACAAUCCCGCGAAUUAGUCAAACAAGGUUAAAGUUCCAGUUUCCUUAGGACACUCUACUUGUGUCGAUGGAGCAUCUAUGAUGGAUGGUACUGGAAUUAAUCCUGCAAACAGGGACCACCCAACUUCUUUAAUGCAUCCUUCAACAAAACGUCAUAAAUUGAGAGCAAACAACAACCUACCUGUAAUAGAAAGCCCUGGAACAUAUUCUGGAGAGACCAAAACUCCGAGUUUCACUGAUGGAAUAACUUGUAAUUGUGCAAUUAUACGUGCUAAAAAAGUUUGUUCUUGCAGGACAUACCCAUCAUCAUACAACUAAAUAAUUAUCGAGUCAACUAAAUCUAGCUUUGCAUUGAUGAAUUAAAAAUUAUGCACAAGCUAUUACUUAUGUCUAUGCAUGCUCAAAUAUGUGAAAGUUAUUUUCAUAUUUCUCAAAUUAUGUUUAUGUGGACACUAAACGAUGUUUGACUUUUGAGAAACUACUUGGAAUUUUCACAUAAUAUUCUUAUGCCACCAAAAGCCCUCUUUGGUGUCUGUCCAGAGCAAAUGACUUUUGGUCUUGCAAAGUUUUUUUCUUUUAUCAUUUUCUACGUAAAAAGGUAUUAAUGGAAUUUGUCCUUUAUUAUUUGUGACUGUUUUCCUUUUAAAAUUUUAUAUGUAGUUAUGCACAAUGAACCAAUGGUUUUUGUAAUGUUUAGUCUGACAUUAAUGACAACUGUGCUAUUGCUUUUACUGUAUUAUGUUGUUCGCUCAUUGGCAAUAGAGGACGUAGUCAUGGAAUGAAUCACCUACAUAGGCAAGGACUUGGUAGAAAUAACUACUUCAGAAC